CCUACGGGUGGCAGCAGUGGGGAAUAUUGGGCAAUGGGCGCAAGCCUGACCCAGCAACGCCGCGUGAAGGACGAAGACUUUCGGGUUGUAAACUUCUUUUCUGCGGGACGAAGAAAGUGACGGUACUUCAGGAAUAAGCCACGGCUAACUACGUGCCAGCAGCCGCGGUAAUACGUAGGUGGCAAGCGUUAUCCGGAUUUUAUGGGUGUACAGGGCGGGUAGGCGGGAAAACAAGUCAGAUGUGAAAACUCAGGGCUCAACCCUGAGCCUGCAUUUGAAACUGUUUGUCUUGAGUGCUGGAGAGGCAAUCGGAAUUCGGUGUGUAGCGGUGAAAUGCGUAGAUAUACGGAAGAACACCGGUGGCGAAGGCAGAUUGCUGGACAGUAACUGACGCUGAGGCGCGAAAGCGUGGGGAGCAAACAGGAUUAGAUACCCCUGUAGUC
rnacentral:rRNA from 1 species